GCGCCUAUAGCUCAGCGGAAUAGAGCACCGGCCUCCGGAGCCGGGAGCGCAGGUUCGAGUCCUGCUAGGCGCACCA
rnacentral:tRNA from 1 species